rnacentral:rRNA from 1 species
CCUACGGGCGGCAGCAGUGGGGAAUAUUGGACAAUGGGGGAAACUCUGAUCCAGCGACGCCGCGUGAGUGAAGAAGUAUUUCGGUACGUAAAGCUCUAUCAGCAGGAAAGAAAAUGACGGUACCUGACUAAGAAGCCCCGGCUAACUACGUGCCAGCAGCCGCGGUAAUACGUAGGGGGCGAGCGUUGUCCGGAAUGACUGGGCGUAAAGGGAGUGUAGGCGGCAUAUUAAGUUAUGUGUGAAAGCCCGCGGCUCAACCGCGGAAUUGCACAUAAAACUGGUAAGCUGGAGUGCAGGAGAGGUAAGUGGAAUUCCCGGUGUAGCGGUGGAAUGCGUAGAUAUCGGGAGGAACACCAGAGGCGAAGGCGACUUACUGGACUGUAACUGACGCUGAGGCUCGAAAGCGUGGGGAGCAAACAGGAUUAGAUACCCCUGUAGUC